rnacentral:rRNA from 1 species
UACAGAGGGUGCAAGCGUUAAUCGGAUUUACUGGGCGUAAAGCGCGCGUAGGUGGCCAAUUAAGUCAAAUGUGAAAUCCCCGAGCUUAACUUGGGAAUUGCAUUCGAUACUGGUUGGCUAGAGUAUGGGAGAGGAUGGUAGAAUUCCAGGUGUAGCGGUGAAAUGCGUAGAGAUCUGGAGGAAUACCGAUGGCGAAGGCAGCCAUCUGGCCUAAUACUGACACUGAGGUGCAAAAGCAUGGGGAGCAAACAGG